rnacentral:rRNA from 1 species
UAAGUAAAGAUUUUAAGGGCGUACGGUGGAUGCCUUGGCGAUAUCAGCCGAAGAAGGACGCGGUAAGCUGCGAUAAGCUACGGAGAGGUGCAAGCAACCUUUGACCCGUAGAUUUCCGAAUGGGGGAACCCGGC